rnacentral:rRNA from 1 species
UACGGAGGGGACUAGCGUUGUUCGGAAUUACUGGGCGUAAAGCGCACGUAGGCGGAUUUGUAAGUCAGGGGUGAAAUCCCGGGGCUCAACCUCGGAACUGCCUUUGAUACUGCAAAUCUCGAGUCCGGAAGAGGUGAGUGGAAUUCCUAGUGUAGCGGUGAAAUGCGCAGAUAUUAGGAGGAACACCGGUGGCGAAGGCGCCACUCUGGGCCGAAACUGACGCUGAGGAGCGAAAGCGUGGGUAGCAAACAGG